rnacentral:tRNA from 1 species
GCACGAGUGGCGAAACUGGUAGACGCAGCGGACUUAAAAUCCGCAGACCCUUCAGUGGGUCAUAUGGGUUCGAGUCCCAUCUCGUGCA